AGUGGCGGACGGGUGAGUAACACGUAAGAAUUUGCCUUUAGGAGGGGGAUAACAACUGGAAACGGUUGCUAAUACCCCAUAUGCUUUCGAGUGAAACGGAUUUUUCCGCCUAAAGAGAAGCUUGCGGCUGAUUAGCUUGUUGGUAAGGUAAUGGCUUACCAAGGCGACGAUCAGUAUCUGGUUUGAGAGGACGAUCAGACACACUGGAACUGAGACACGGUCCAGACUCCUACGGGAGGCAGCAGUGGGGAAUUUUCCGCAAUGGGCGAAAGCCUGACGGAGCAAUACCGCGUGAGGGAUGACGGCCUAUGGGUUGUAAACCUCUUUUUUCAGGGAGGAAUCAAUGACGUGUACCUGAAGAAUAAGCAUCGGCUAACUCCGUGCCAGCAGCCGCGGUAAGACGGGGGAUGCAAGUGUUAUCCGGAAUUACUGGGCGUAAAGCGUCUGUAGGUGGCUCGAUAAGUCAACGGUGAAAUCUUGAAGCUCAACUUCAAAAUCGCAGUCGAAACUAUCGGACUAGAGUAUAGUAGAGGUAAAGGGAAUUUCGAGUGUAGAGGUGAAAUUCGUAGAUAUUGGAAAGAACACCGAUGGCGAAAGCACUUUACUGGGCUAUUACUGACACUCAGAGACGAAAGCUAGGGUAGCAAAUGGGAUUAGAUACCCCAGUAGUCCUAGCCGUAAACAAUGGAUACUAGGUGUUG
rnacentral:rRNA from 1 species